UAGUAGUUACUUCUCAGUUGCUAUGAUAAAAUACCAUAGUCAUGGCAACUUAGAGAUGGAAGGGUUUAUUUGGGCAUACAGUUCCAGAGAGGUAAAAGUCUGUCAUGGUGGGGCAGCCUGGCAGCAAGCAGUAGGCUUGGCAGCAGGAUAAAGAGGCUAAGACAUCACACCUUCAAAUGCAAGCUCAAAGCAGAGAGAACAGGCAGAUACCAGUUGAGAUUAUAGGCACUCAAAGCCCACCCCAGUGAUGUACUUUCCACCAGCAAACCUCCCCAAACAGCACCACCAACUGGAGACCAAGUGCCCAAAUGUCUAGGCCUUUGGGGACAUUCUCAUUCAAACCGCUAGAGCAGGUCCCAUAGGUGCUGUGUUCUCGUCACCUCAACUGUACACACAAGUUCUUUGGGAUACCAUCUCAUACCAUCUCUUGAAAUUUUGUGACAGGGCUACAGGGACUCAUUUGUCUACACAUCCUAGACCAAAGAGGCUGGGAAUAUACACAUUCCCAAGGGCAAUCUUAUAACUGAUAAGCUGUGGCUUCAGUGUUGUAAAUAUCCAGCUUCCUUGGCCCAGGGCUAGGGUAAUCCUGAGGCAUGCAUAUUGCACUAUUUUCUGGGCGUAGCUUUCCUAGAAGGAUUAAGCUUGAGUUGGCCAUGGGGGCACUGGCUGUUAGCACACUUUUUUACAUCCCUCCCUCUACUACUCCUUCUUGUGUUUCUUGCACUUUCUACAAACCAUUUUGCAGAUGAACCUGUGGUUCAUAAUUUGCUUCUGGGAUAACUGAAACCAAUAAACCUAACCAGAAAACACAAGACAUUGUUGGGGGAAAUUGCAUUAAAACAAAGAGGGAGAUACUAACAUUUGUGCGUGUGAAGACUAAGAACUAUAAGGCCACCAUUUUUCCCGAUUUAUCUUUCUGUUUUGUGCAGUUUUAAUCAGAUUCCCAGUGGGCUGUUCCUAAAAUUUGACAAGACGACUUCAAAAGUCACAUAAAGGACAGAAUAAGGGGUACAAACAGCUGAAGCAUCUUUGAGAGAGAACAGUUAAGGGAGAUGGAGCAGCAGCUCAGUGGGUAAGAUCACUCACUGUGCAAGCAUGUCUGAGUUUGGAUCCCAGCACCCAUGUAAAAAGUCAGGCAUGACUGGGGCUGCUCACAUGCCUGUGACUCCAGGCAUGUCCAAACUUCACUGGUCGCAAGCCUAACUCCAGGUUCAAAGAGAGACUUUGUCUCAAAAUAAUAUUCGAGCAGCAUAAUGGAUGCCCUCCUCUGGCCUCUGGAUGUGAACAUAGGUAGAUUCACCUAGAUAUCCAUGUAUGUGCACAACCCUGAUGAAGCAUGUGCGUGCACACAGACACACACAGACAGACAUUCAAGAAGAGCUGAGAAGAGAACGCAUUCAAAGCCACCAUGAUAUACUUGCACGAGAGUGAGUUAAACCAUGGCAUAGACAGCAGCAUAGAGAAUGGGAUGUGAGUGUGGUAAAGGGGGCAGAAAGGAAAUGGGUUGAAUGCAGGCAAGAGAAAUGCGGUUUAGGUGAAAGCAAGAGAGUGAGGUAUAAGAGUAGCUGACUCAAUCAUUAGUGGUUUCUGAACCAAGGGUGCCAGGUUCACUCAGCUCUUUGUUCUGUCUGACACUCCCUAGUCUGAUAAACAUGCCAGGCAGGAGCUUCUUGAGAUAGGUAGCGCUUCCAAUCCUCUAAUCAAUAAGCCGGCCUGAUGUUGAUUCCUUUGAUGUGACACUUCCUGCCUAGCCCUUCUGUGAUCUCACAAAGAGAGCCCUGAGCACCGAGAUAAUGGGAGCCUUUCUGGACAGUGACGCAUCAUCUGGUCCAGGAAAAGGGCAAUCAAGGACUUGCAGCAUCAGAUGACUUCCAUAUACAAGGGAAUCCUCCAUAGAAUGCGAUAUUUGGACCAUUCUAACAUGGGAACGUGCUCACAUAUGCUUUCAAACUCAGCCCCCAUUACCACAUGUAUUGAUGGUGAAUGAGUCACCUGAUUGAGCUGUGAAGUGACCAAAUAUUCGGUCAAAUGUUUUUCUGCGUGGCUAUGUCUUUGGAAGAAAUCAUCCCCCUCGAUUGGUAGAAUUUAGCGGCAGAACACUCACCUAGUUUAUCUGGGCUUUGGGGUCAGUCCCCCAAACUGUAAACAGACAGAAGAACAAUUUUAGGAAUAAAAGUGAAAUAAAUAAA